rnacentral:rRNA from 1 species
UACGUAGGGUGCAAGCGUUAAUCGGGAAUUACUGGGCGUAAAGGCGUGCGCAGGCGGAUUAUGUAACGACAGGGUGUGAAAUCCCCGGGCUUAACCUGGGAACUGCAUUUGUGACUGCAUGAGCUAGAGUACGGUAGAGGGGGAUGGAAUUCCGCGUGUAGCAGUGAAAUGCGUAGAUAUGCGGAGGAACACCGAUGGCGAAGGCAAUCCCCUGGACCUGUACUGACGCUCAUGCACGAAAGCGUGGGGAGCAAACAGG